GACGAACGCUGGCGGCGUGCCUAAUACAUGCAAGUAGAACGCUGAAGAGAGGAGCUUGCUCUUCUUGGAUGAGUUGCGAACGGGUGAGUAACGCGUAGGUAACCUGCCUUGUAGCGGGGGAUAACUAUUGGAAACGAUAGCUAAUACCGCAUAACAAUGGAUGACACAUGUCAUUUAUUUGAAAGGGGCAAUUGCUCCACUACAAGAUGGACCUGCGUUGUAUUAGCUAGUAGGUGAGGUAAUGGCUCACCUAGGCGACGAUACAUAGCCGACCUGAGAGGGUGAUCGGCCACACUGGGACUGAGACACGGCCCAGACUCCUACGGGAGGCAGCAGGAGGGAAGCUUCGGCAAUGGGGGCAACCCUGACCGAGCAACGCCGCGUGAGUGAAGAAGGUUUUCGGAUCGUAAAGCUCUGUUGUAAGUCAAGAACGGGUGUGAGAGUGGAAAGUUCACACUGUGACGGUAGCUUACCAGAAAGGGACGGCUAACUACGUG
rnacentral:rRNA from 1 species